UACGUAGGGGGCUAGCGUUGUCCGGAAUCAUUGGGCGUAAAGCGCGUGUAGGCGGUCCGGUAAGUCCGCUGUGAAAGUCCGAGGGCUCAACCCUCGAAUGCCGGUGGAUACUGUCGGGCUAGAGUGCGGAAGAGGCGAGUGGAAUUCCUGGUGUAGCGGUGAAAUGCGCAGAUAUCAGGAGGAACACCUAUUGCGAAGGCAGCUCGCUGGGACGUUACUGACGCUGGAGACGCGAAAGCGUGGGGAGCAAACAGG
rnacentral:rRNA from 1 species